GGUAUUAUACUUUAUAUAGAAGAUAUGAUUUGCAUUCAUAAAGAAAGAUAUCUCUUUUAUACCA
rnacentral:tRNA from 2 species